rnacentral:misc_RNA from 1 species
GAUGACGAACGUAGCGAAAUGCGAUACUUGGUGUGAAUUGCAGAAUCCCGUGAACCAUCGAGUCUUUGAACGCAAGUUGCGCCCGAAGCCAUUAGGCCGAGGGCACGCCUGCCUGGGUGUCACACGUCGUUGCCCCCCCAUCUACUCCUUCGGGAUUGCGGGGGGCGGAUGAUGGCCUCCCGUGCGCCUCGUCGCGCGGUUGGCAUAAAUGCCAAGUCCUCGGCGACGCACGCCACGACAAUCGGUGGUUGCGAAACCUCGGUUGCCCGUCGUGUGCGGUCGUCGCGCAUCGAGGGCUCGAAAAAAUUGCCGGGCUCCGGCUCGGCUUUCAACGCGACCCCAGGUCAGGCGGGGUUACCCGCUGAAUUUAAGCAUAUCAAUAAGCGGAGGA